rnacentral:rRNA from 1 species
GGGCUCAACCUGGGAACUGCAUUCGAAACUGGCAGGCUUGAGUCUUGUAGAGGGGGGUAGAAUUCCAGGUGUAGCGGUGAAAUGCGUAGAGAUCUGGAGGAAUACCGGUGGCGAAGGCGGCCCCCUGGACAAAGACUGACGCUCAGGUGCGAAAGCGUGGGGAGCAAACAGGAUUAGAUACCCUGGUAGUCCACGCCGUAAACGAUGUCUACUUGGAGGUUGUGCCCUUGAGGCGUGGCUUCCGGAGCUAACGCGUUAAGUAGACCGCCUGGGGAGUACGGCCGCAAGGUUAAAACUCAAAUGAAUUGACGGGGGCCCGCACAAGCGGUGGAGCAUGUGGUUUAAUUCGAUGCAACGCGAAGAACCUUAC